rnacentral:rRNA from 1 species
GUGGGGAAUAUUGCGCAAUGGCCGAAAGGCUGACGCAGCGACGCCGCGUGGGGGAUGAAGCAUUUCGGUGUGUAAACCCCUGUUGCCCGGGAUGAACAAGCAGAUUUUUCUGCUCUGACGGUACCGGGUGAGGAAGCACCGGCUAACUACGUGCCAGCAGCCGCGGUACUACGUAGGGGGCAAGCGUUGUCCGGAUUUACUGGGUGUAAAGGGCGCGCAGGCGGGAUAAAAAGUCAGUGGUGAAAUCCUACAGCUUAACUGUAGAACUGCCUUUGNUACUUUUAUUCUUGAGUUCGGGAGAGAGAGACGGAAUUCCAGGUGUAGUGGUGAAAUACGUAGAUAUCUGGAAGAACACCAGUUGCGAAGGCGGUCUCUUGGUCCGACACUGACGCUGAGGCGCGAAAGCGUGGGGAGCAAACA